AGAGAGACUGAGAGCGGAGGAGCUGCAGGUGGCAAGAUGUGAGUGUGGCGACUGUGGGAGACAUCAUGGGAAAGAGACACGAAGGGUGGGGUGUGAGCACUGGGGCGAGGGGUUGGGAGCGCGCACAAUUGCUGAAGAAUUGCGAGAGGCCGAGGUGCAGGUGCGAUGGUGAAAGAGCUCGCAGGGGAGUGGAGGAGGAGGGAAGUCGAG
rnacentral:lncRNA from 1 species